UACGUAGGGUGCGAGCGUUAAUCGGAAUUACUGGGCGUAAAGCGUGCGCAGGCGGUUUUGUAAGUCUGACGUGAAAUCCCCGGGCUCAACCUGGGAAUUGCGUUGGAGACUGCAAGGCUGGAGUCUGGCAGAGGGGGGUAGAAUUCCACGUGUAGCAGUGAAAUGCGUAGAGAUGUGGAGGAACACCGAUGGCGAAGGCAGUCCCCUGGGUCAAGACUGACGCUCAUGCACGAAAGCGUGGGGAGCAAACAGG
rnacentral:rRNA from 1 species